rnacentral:rRNA from 4 species
UUGGCCUCAAAUCAGGUAGGACUACCCGCUGAACUUAAGCAUAUCAAUAA